rnacentral:misc_RNA from 1 species
UGCAACGUCACCUCCAGCACAAAAUGCUCUUCCUUUACCCUUCAUAAUCAAUAACUUGACGUUGGGAUCAUCAGCAUAAGUAACGAAAAGCUCCAGAAGCUGUGAAACCAUUUGAGAAGACAGCGCGUUCAGUUGACGAGGCCUGUUCAAUGUUAGGAUUCUAGCAAAUCCACAUUCUUCCACCAAGACCUGGGACUCGGUGGCGGUUGGCCGAUUCCCGGACUCCUUGGUGUCGGCGGACAUGAGGCCCUUGCUGCCGUCGCUGGCCGUCGUCUCCUCCUCUGUGAACGGGAAACGGCGGGGGAAUAUCUCGGGAUACGGAGCCCGAGGAAG